rnacentral:rRNA from 1 species
UACGUAGGUGGCAAGCGUUAUCCGGAUUUACUGGGUGUAAAGGGCGUGUAGGCGGGAAAGCAAGUCGGAUGUGAAAACCAUGGGCUCAACCUGUGGCCUGCAUUUGAAACUGUUUUUCUUGAGUACUGGAGAGGCAGACGGAAUUCCUAGUGUAGCGGUGAAAUGCGUAGAUAUUAGGAGGAACACCAGUGGCGAAGGCGGUCUGCUGGACAGCAACUGACGCUGAGGCGCGAAAGCGUGGGGAGCAAACAGG